AAAAUUGAAGUUUUGUUAACCUAGCUUUUACAAAAUCACUAAACGCCCGCACCAAAAGCUCUCGCCAUAGUCGACGGUGACCUUCAUAAUGUUCGACGGUGUUGGAGCCACCUAGUCGUUUCAGACUUCAAGUAGUCCUUCUCUCCCGCCAUCAACUCAUCUCCAGCUCAACUCAGCUUCUCUGUCCUUGAUUCCCAAGAAGAUCAGCUCGCUCUUCCCUGCGCAUUACUCCCUUCGAUUCCUGCAAUGCUUUUUCGAUUCUGAUUACAGUUUCUGUCAAGAUGGAGAAACAAUGGCUGCAAUUUGAUAGAGAAAAGGAACAGACAAAGAAGAGGAAAAUAGGUGACAAAGAACUGAAAAAGAAGGGGAAAAAGAAGAGUGAAAGACUACCUCAUCGCAUAUGGAAGAAAAAGUCAAUAUUCUUCAAGUUGCCAUAUUGGAAGGUUCUCCUUGUACGUCAUAACUUGGAUGUAAUGCAUAUCGAGAAGAAUAUCUGUGAUAGUAUUCUUGGUACACUUUUGAAUUUGAAGAGAAAGUCCAAAGAUGGUCUCAAGUCUCGUAAAGACCUGGAAGCUAUGCAGAUUAGACAAGAUCUACACCCUAAAGUAUAUUUUCAUAUGUAUACUAGAGAAUUUAUGUAGGUCAGGAAGUACCAUGCAUGUUUUGUCAAUGCUGAUGAACAAAGAAUCCAAUACUUUGUCAUGCUUGUUUUGUAAAGAACAUAUGUAUAAGAGAAUGUGGCACUCCACACUCCUAAUGAAAUGUAUAUUUUCCUCCUAAUGAAAUGUAUAUUUUUCAUA